GACGAACGCUGGCGGCGUGCCUAAUACAUGCAAGUAGAACGCACAGUUUAUACCGUAGCUUGCUACACCAUAGACUGUGAGUUGCGAACGGGUGAGUAACGCGUAGGUAACCUGCCUGGUAGCGGGGGAUAACUAUUGGAAACGAUAGCUAAUACCGCAUAAUAUUGAUUAUUGCAUGAUAAUUGAUUGAAAGAUGCUAUUGCAUCACUACCAGAUGGACCUGCGUUGUAUUAGCUAGUAGGUGAGGUAACGGCUCACCUAGGCGACGAUACAUAGCCGACCUGAGAGGGUGAUCGGCCACACUGGGACUGAGACACGGCCCAGACUCCUACGGGAGGCAGCAGUAGGGAAUCUUCGGCAAUGGACGAAAGUCUGACCGAGCAACGCCGCGUGAGUGAAGAAGGUUUUCGGAUCGUAAAGCUCUGUUGUAAGAGAAGAACGGGUGUGAGAGUGGAAAGUUCACACUGUGACGGUAUCUUACCAGAAAGGGACGGCUAGCUACGUG
rnacentral:rRNA from 1 species